AGUGAACGCUGGCGGUAGGCCUAACACAUGCAAGUCGAACGGCAGCACAGUAAGAGCUUGCUCUUACGGGUGGCGAGUGGCGGACGGGUGAGGAAUACAUCGGAAUCUACUUUUUCGUGGGGGAUAACGUAGGGAAACUUACGCUAAUACCGCAUACGACCUACGGGUGAAAGCAGGGGAUCUUCGGACCUUGCGCGAUUGAAUGAGCCGAUGUCGGAUUAGCUAGUUGGCGGGGUAAAGGCCCACCAAGGCGACGAUCCGUAGCUGGUCUGAGAGGAUGAUCAGCCACACUGGAAGUGAAACACGGUCCAGACUCCUGCGGGAGGUAGCAGUGGGGUAUAUUGGACAUUGGGCGCAAGCCUGAUCCAGCCAUACCGCGUGGGUGAAGAAGGCCUUCGGGUUGUAAAGCCCUUUUGUUGGGAAAGAAAAGCAGCAGGUUAAUACCCCGCUGUUCUGACGGUACCCAAAGAAUAAGCACCGGCUAACUUCGUG
rnacentral:rRNA from 1 species